rnacentral:lncRNA from 1 species
GAGCUGACCCUGAUCAGGGCCGAGUUGUCUCGGCGGCGCUGCCGAGGCCUCCACCCAGGACAGUCUCUGUCAAGAUGAUAGAGGUACUGACAACAACUGACUCUCAGAAACUGCUACACCAGCUGAAUGCCCUGUUGGAACAGGAGUCUAGAUGUCAGCCAAAGGUCUGUGGUUUGAGACUAAUUGAGUCUGCACACGAUAAUGGCCUCAGAAUGACUGCAAGACUAAGGGACUUUGAAGUAAAAGAUCUUCUUAGUCUAACUCAGUUCUUUGGCUUUGACACAGAGACAUUUUCUCUAGCUGUGAAUUUACUGGACAGAUUCCUGUCUAAAAUGAAGGUACAGCCCAAGCACCUUGGGUGUGUUGGACUGAGCUGCUUUUAUUUGGCUGUAAAAUCAAUAGAAGAGGAAAGGAAUGU